CAGGCACAUGAAGGUUCCCAAGCUAGGGGUCCAAUCGGAACUGCAGCCACUGGCCUACACCACAGCCACAGCAACGUGGGAUCUGAGCCAGGUCUGCAGCCUGCACCGCAGCUCAAGACAAGCCAGAUGCUUCACCCACUGAGCGCGGCCAGGGAUGGAACCUGCUUCCUCAUGGAUACUAGUUGGGUUCGUUACCGCUAAGCCUCAGUGGGAACUCCCUGGAUCUUCUCUAACACUGAACAAAUUUUGUAACAAUAUGGUGAACAAGUUUUUUAACAAUCUGCGGACAGAGCGAACCAUGCACAGUGAGCCACAUGCCAUAUAACCCACCGACACACAACCACUAACUAGCACGAGUAAGCAGUUAGUGAGGGAACGUUAUUAGUGAAACAUGAAAAAUGUGUUGGGGACCCAUGCGAUCCAGCUUACUUGACUGGGAGCUAGUCGUAUGGAUCUCAUCCAUAUAAAGACUCUUCAGGAUAGAAGAACCAUCUAGACGGCAAGAAGCAGCUCAAGCAGGGUUUUGCUAUUGAUUUCUAAUGCUCACUGGCUCAACAUCUCAGCCCUAUGUGCAGCCACAAACAAACACUCUGCACUGUAGCUACCCUGGAUUACAUGCAGCUACCAGAACACUUGCAUUCUUUUGUUCCUGCUGUUGCAUCUUCUUGAAAUGUUCUCUAUUCUUGAUAAAGAAAAUCUUAUUUACUCUUUAAAGCUUAGUUGAAACAUUACUCCACUGUAAAACCCAAGGCAGAUUUAAGCAUAAAAUCAGCACAUCUGUUGAGUACCUGCUCUGUGCCAGACAGUAAACACUAUCUCAGCAAAUGAGAUAAAAGCCUCUCUGCCUUCACGGAGCUUACACUCUGCUCUCCCACAGCGCUCAGCUCCUGUGAGACAGUUCUUAGCAUGUUCACACUUAUAAUUAUUAGAGAAAUUGGGCAGUGUUUACUUCCCCCGCCGGACUGGGCUUCUUAAAAAGAUGAAUGUGUCUCCCCAUAAAACCAUCUUCUCCAGCAGUUCAGAGGUUUCACUCCCUGCAAUUUCGGAGUUUGUGAAUUGUACAUGCAGGAGGCAUUCAGCAUGUGCUACCCCAAGAGGGGAGCCACCCUGUUAUAAAAGACCCCAUAACUAGCAAGGCUUAAACUUUCUGUGGGAAAGUAACAAACUACAGGAAAUUUUAAAAGUAAUUUAGAAGUCAAAACUAUUCAUCACAAUUCCCCAGAACUCAGUGCUACAUUCCGCUUCCCCUAAAAAAGUGACAAAAACACUGAAACAUUAAUCAAUCCAGAUACCUGCUAAUCACUCCUACAGUUAAUUUGAGCAACAGAGAAAAGAAUCAGUAUUCUCAAAUUAACCCUGCAGAGACAUAUUAGCAUAGAAACACAACACAAAUUCGUGUUGACAUCUGGAGUUCUGCACAGUAACUACACCCAAAACCCAAGUAGAUGGGUCAUGUCCUCUUAAAGCAACUUCAAAAUCACUUCUUAUUGGUAUCAAAUCACAAAAGAUUCCUAUCAUAGGAUUCUCCUAAGUCGCCAUGUCUAAGGUCCACACUCUGGGCUAGCAAAGAAAAUGGUUAAUUUUGUCAGGAUGGGAAGUGAGAGGCAGAGUUUAGACACACGCCACGCUGCUGUGGCAAUGAGCUCCCCAGAGUGUCUUGCAGGGGUCUAUGAUUCUCCCUGGAUCCUCCUCUGUGUUUGGAGAGUUCUCUGAAGGUGACAAGACCCAAAACAUGUUGCUUUAGUGCCCUGGACAAUGACUUGCACCUGCGAGGGGUGCAGUGAUGGUUUUCUCAUGAUUUGAAUAUGUACCAUAUAUUAUCAUAUGACAUGGAAUAUGUACACUCCGCACUUGAGAUUAUCCAAUGCCAACACUGCCACGUUGCUAAUGUUUGACUUUUACAUCACCUGCAUCCUGUUUAUAACCCUGCCCCCCACACAGGAUAGCUCAAAGUGAAUACUGGAAUCGCCCAGGGCCACAAAAAUACCCAAGUUAUUUAUGCAAAGAUAUUGACUGAAUAUACUACAUCAUCCUCAAAGACAAUCAUUCCAAGCAGAAAUCGGCUCAUCGUAGGGAGCGAUAAUCAUUCAUAAUAGAUGUCAUUUAAUCACUCAUUUAUAAACUGGUUUUUGCGAGUUGAUCGUGUAGAAAGAUGAAGAGUCAUCACUAGGAAUGUACGUAAGGCACUGUCCCUGUCCCCACGAGCCUAGUCUGAAGGAGGAGAAAAGAUGGACCUCACUGGAGUAUCCGCUCCUCUUGUUGGCCGGAGCUGUGUAGGGGUUGCGGACUUGCAGGUACCCACAAGGCACCAUCCACAUGUGUGACUCCGCGUCAGGAGGUCGUGUCAGAAACGACUCACGCACUUCACACAGUCGCAAAGUGUCACCGCUUGAAGUGUGCGCAGAAAUCACCUCCUUCCUCUCCUUUUUCACAUACCGAAUAAGAAAUGCCAUAACCGGUGACCGCAUGGUUCCAAAUCACACAUGACAAAGCCACAAAUCACAAGUGUCGGCCCCUGCGCUUUUCCUACCAACACCACACCGAGAUAUCUUUAGGAGAAAUACGGUAUUACCCACGUGUACACAGAAAAUAUAUUCACGAGCUGCUGCUAAUAUUAACAUGCCCAAUGCUGCACACUCUUGCCUUUCAAUUGACUUUUAGCAAUUCCAUCUCAGCUAUAGUCUAGUGACCCCCACGACGAAACGCACGUCUCUUUAUACAUAUUUUAUAAUUUGUUUUAAGUUGUACUUUACAAGGUGUCUAAGUUUUUCUCUGGUAUCCUGAUUUUAGUUAAUAGCAGAAAACAACAACAAGAGCAGAAAUAUGAAAUAACAGUCCUUGAUCUAGUCCUGUUUAGUGUUCCAAAGGAAAAAAAAAAAUGCAUCUGGGCUGCAGGCACAUGAAAACAUGUCAAUCAGAUGUAAUUGCUCUCCAAGAGAAAUGCUUUUUAGGGAAGUAAAAAAGAACGCAUCCUCAACACAGAGCUUUGUAGCGGCAGCUCAUCUGCUAAUGACAAGCUCGUUUGUUCUCCAACCCGUUCACGAUUCCACAUCGGAAUCGUGACAGAAAAGGACAACCUGACCAGGUCUUCGCUCUUAAACAAUGAGAAAAAUGGUUAUGUGUAGGCAUUUAGAGCUGCUGUAUUUAUAUAAUAUAUAGAAAGACGAUACAUUCUAUAUCCAUGCAUGCGUGGAGUUCAUUACAUCAUCAGCAGUUGCUGAGAAUCAAAGUAACUCUUAACUGCUUACACCAGGGCGGACAAAUAUCAGAACUAUAACACACUCAAAAAAAAUAAUAAGGCUUCUGCUUUUGUUCACAAUAACUCUUAAGGACAUGCAAUAGGCCCAAUUCUGCCUGAAGGCAGUAAGGCGCACAUCCCAGGGGGCAGGCAGUAUUUGAAGGCUGUAUUUGACUGGAUGCACACAGACACCUUUAAAACUCCUUCAAUAUUUUGUCCAUUAUUGUAGAGUCUACUUAAAUGGAAAUCUAAUAAUCCCUGCCACGAAGGACAACUGCUAACUCCAAAAAGAAGGCUGUGGCCUCUAUUUUCUAAAACUGAGAUGUCAUAUAUUUUUCAGCACUAGCGGUGAGGGAUUCACGAACUAAAAGCCAUAAAGUUUUAAAAAAAUAAAACAAAUGAAAAUAACAACAACAAAUCCCAUAGUAAGUAAGCCCCGGCCAGGAAUUCCUUUGUAAAGCCCAUGUAAAUUCACUAAAAUUGGAUGCCACCCAUUAAGCCACGGGCAUUCUCUGGAUGCCACAUUCAGGAAAGCGCAUCAAUGACUUUUGUAUAAAACUCAUUUUAAGUUUCAGAAUAAUUGCCUUUCAGGUUUAACUAUGCUAUGCAAACGGAAACCCCACAAAACUGAGGAGGGCAGACAGGCUUUUAGGGUGGGAGGUGUCUCGCACUACCCACCCACCGCGUGCCUGGGUCCCUAGGAGAAGGCGCUCGAGGCUGAUCCCUUGUGGUCCAUGCUCCCUCCCCACAAGCUCGUCCCAAGGGUGCGGCUCUUCACACCGUCCAGGCCCUGGGGCAUGGCUGGGCCACAGCUCAUGGGUGGUCAUGGCCGUGGUGUGAUGUCAAGACAGAGCCGGGUCCACCCUCCCUGCCUCUCCCUGCACACAGGCAAUGGGAUGUCUCGGCCUGUGACCCAGCACAGCCUCCACGAGGCAGAGCAGCCGCUUUGCCCACGUGGACGCCUGCGCAGAGUUUUCAGCAGCUGUGGCGACGCUGCGAUGCACGGUCCAGAUGCUCCCUCACGGGAGCACUUGCUACAGCAGCUUCUGGGGUCCUUGCCAGCCCCUCUGGGGACGGCCUUCAUCAGAACAGGCCACCACCCCCUCCCCAAGGUCACGCAUCUUCCCAGGAUGGCCAACAUCAAAUACCUUAUGAACAGAGUAGUAUGAAAGCCUGGCCAUCUCAGCCCACCUUGGGAAAACUCUGGAGGUUCAUUCUAGUUCUAGAACUCCGAAGACGUCAGCCUAGACCGUUCAUGCACCUGCAUCAAUGCUCAACUUCUCCCUCUCUCCACACCUGCUUCCUCACUUUCCCUUCCACAGGAGGAUCCAUGGGAGCUCAGUAGUAAACACUCUGCACAUUAAAUUCUGACUCAGAGGCUGCUUCCUGGGAAACUCAACCUGGGAGAGUAGGGUUCUGGUCGCCCUCCGUCAUCAACAUCUGGGAGUCUAUAAAGGGGGAUCCCCUGCUGAGGUUUCUAGGUCUAAGACCCCUACUGCACCCUCAUUCACCAGGAAAGUCCUGCAGGCGGAUGCAAUGAGCACAUACUAACUAUCAAUCCAAACUGUAUUUCAUGUUCCUUUUGGAUACUCCAUCAUGUCAUAAUCCACAUGUCAAUGGAGAAGAUUAGGAGUGGGCAAUGCAAUUUAAGCAUCUACUGACAAGGGAUUAAUUUCCCAAAUAUACAAACAGCUCAUACAGCUUAAUAUCAAAAAAAAAAAAAACCAAACAGCCCAAGCAAAAAAUGGACAGAAGACCUAAGUAGACAUUUGUCUAAAGAAGACAUUCAGAUGGCCAACAGGCACGUGAAAAGAUGCUCAAUAUCACUGUUACAGAGAAAUGCAAAUUAACAGCCAUCAUCAAAAAGUCUACAAAAAAAUACAGAGUUCCUGUAGUGGUGCAGCAGAAACCAAUGUGACUAGUAUCCAUGAGGAUGCAGGUUUGAUCCCUGGCCUCACUCAGCGGGUUAGGGAUCCGGCAUUGCCAUGAGAUGUGGUAUAGGUUGCAGACACAGCUCAAAUCCCACACUGCUGUGGCUGUGGUGUAGGCCAGCAGCAAUAGCUCCAAUUCAACCCCUAGCCUGGGAACUUCCAUAUGCCAUGGGU
rnacentral:lncRNA from 1 species